rnacentral:lncRNA from 1 species
AAAAAUGAAUAAAAAGAGGAAGGAGAAGAGAAAACAAUUGCUAUAGAGUUGUUCAAGUGAAUGAAAUAUUUUGUAAAUUCAACUCCCGCAGUUUCUUUCAAGUCUCUUUUAUCUCUUUGUAAAAUGAAUAAAAAGAGGAAGGAGAAGAGAAAACAAUUGCUAUAGAGUUGUUCAAGUGAAUGAAAUAUUUUGUAAAUUCAACUCCCGCAGUUUCUUUCAAGUCUCUUUUAUCUCUUUGAAUUUUAUCCU